GCCGAGGUGGCGGAAUUGGCAGACGCCCUGGACUUAAGAUCCAGUGUUCGUUAGAACGUGCGGGUUCGAGUCCCGCCCUCGGCA
rnacentral:tRNA from 1 species